GAUGAACGCUGUCGGCGCGCCUAACACAUGCAAGUCGAACGGAGUUGCUGAAGCUGAAUUUUUCGGAAGGACGCAUUAGUAACUUAGUGGCGGACGGGUGAGCAACGCGUGAGUAACCUGCCUUUCAGAGGGGGAUAACGUUUGGAAACGAACGCUAAUACCGCAUAACAUAACGAGGUCGCAUGGCUUUGUUAUCAAAGGAGCAAUCCGCUGGAAGAUGGACUCGCGUCCAAUUAGCUAGUUGGUGAGGUAAAGGCCCACCAAGGCGACGAUUGGUAGCCGGACUGAGAGGUUGAACGGCCACAUUGGGACUGAGACACGGCCCAGACUCCUACGGGAGGCAGCAGUGGGGAAUAUUGCACAAUGGGGGAAGCCCUGAUGCAGCGACGCCGCGUGAGGGAAGAAGGUUUUCGGAUUGUAAACCUCUGUCUUUGGUGACGAAACAAAUGACGGUAACCAAGGAGGAAGCCACGGCUAACUACGUGCCAGCCGCCGCUGUAACAC
rnacentral:rRNA from 1 species